rnacentral:rRNA from 1 species
UACGAGGGGGGCGAGCGUUGUUCGGAAUUAUUGGGCGUAAAGGGUGCGUAGGCGGUUUGGUAAGUCUUAUGUGAAAUCUACAGGCUCAACUUGUAGUCUGCAUGAGAAACUGCCGGGCUUGAGUAUGGGAGAGGUGAGUGGAAUUCCUGGUGUAGCGGUGGAAUGCGUAGAGAUCCGGAAGAACACCAGUGGCGAAGGCGGACUCGACUGGUCCGAUACUGACGCUGAGGAGUGAAAGCGGUGGGGA